AGUGAACGCUGGCGGUAGGCCUAACACAUGCAAGUCGAACGGCAGCACAGUAAGAGCUUGCUCUUACGGGUGGCGAGUGGCGGACGGGUGAGGAAUACAUCGGAAUCUACUUUUUCGUGGGGGAUAACGUAGGGAAACUUACGCUAAUACCGCAUACGACCUACGGGUGAAAGCGGGGGAUCUUCGGACCUUGCGCGAUUGAAUGAGCCGAUGUCGGAUUAGCUAGUUGGCGGGGUAAAGGCCCACCAAGGCGGCGAUCCGUAGCUGGUCUGAGAGGAUGAUCAGCCACACUGGAACUGAGACACGGUCCAGACUCCUACGGGAGGCAGCAGUGGGGAAUAUUGGACAAUGGGCGCAAGCCUGAUCCAGCCAUACCGCGUGGGUGAAGAAGGCCUUCGGGUUGUAAAGCCCUUUUGUUGGGAAAGAAAAGCAGCAGGUUAAUACCCCGCUGUUCUGACGGUACCCAAAGAAUAAGCACCGGCUAACUUCGUG
rnacentral:rRNA from 1 species